rnacentral:rRNA from 1 species
GCCGUGGUCGAUGGCGAGCAGCCAUCUGGCCUAAUACUGACGCUGAGGUACGAAAGCAUGGGGAGCAAACAGGAUUAGAUACCCUGGUAGUCCAUGCCGUAAACGAUGUCUACUAGCCGUUGGGGCCUUUGAGGCUUUAGUGGCGCAGCUAACGCGAUAAGUAGACCGCCUGGGGAGUACGGUCGCAAGACUAAAACUCAAAUGAAUUGACGGGGGCCCGCACAAGCGGUGGAGCAUGUGGUUUAAUUCGAUGCAACGCGAAGAACCUUACCUGGCCUUGACAUACUAGAAACUUUCCAGAGAUGGAUUGGUGCCUUCGGGAAUCUAGAUACAGGUGCUGCAUGGCUGUCGUCAGCUCGUGUCGUGAGAUGUUGGGUUAAGUCCCGCAACGAGCGCAACCCUUUUCCUUACUUGCCAGCAUUUCGGAUGGGAACUUUAAGGAUACUGCCAGUGACAAACUGGAGGAAGGCGGGGACGACGUCAAGUCAUCAUGGCCCUUACGGCCAGGGCUACACACGUGCUACAAUGGUCGGUACAAAGGGUUGCUAUACAGCGAUGUGAUGCUAAUCUCAAAAAGUCUAUCUUAGUCCGGAUUGCACUCUGCGACUCGACUCCAUGAAGUCAGAAUCGCUAGUAAUCCCGGAUCAGAAUGCCGCGCUGAAUACCUUCCCUGGCCUUGUGCACACCGCCGGUCUCA